rnacentral:snoRNA from 1 species
AACCCAUGCUGAGGGCACUUCCGGAGCAUUUUUUGAAUCUGUUCCAGGCUUCGUCGAAUGAUUCAGUUUCUCCUUGAUUGAAUACUGAUAUGUCAUGUCUCAGCUU